rnacentral:rRNA from 1 species
AUGGAUGUUGACUACAACCCAACAGGAUGGGAAUUUGUUACAAGCCACUUUUGCAGAUCCAGAUUCACACGUGGAUCUUCAAUUAUAAUGAUGAUCAUAGCAGGGAGAUAUACCAUACUAAGAGGAUGCAAAGUCUGGACACCCCUGAUGGGCAUAAUGUUGUUAGUUCAACCAAUAAGCACUGAUGUAGAAAUAUCAAGUUCGGAAGAGCACGAAACAAUAAAACAGUUGAUUAAGGCUUCACUUGGUAAUGACAACUCCAUGUGGUCAAAGCUUGACUUAUGCCUCCGUGGGCUGGAGCUGGAGGCUGCGCUGCUCUAUGUGCAGACCAGUUUGAAGGAUGUCCGCUUGCUUUCCAGUAUAUCCCAAGCCUUUGCUGUGGCUACUAAAACCACCACUCGCAAGGACAAGUGA